AGAGUUUGAUCAUGGCUCAGAUUGAACGCUGGCGGCAUGCUUUGCACAUGCAAGUCGAACGGUAGGGUAGCAAUACCUGAGAGUGGCGAACGGGUGAGUAAUGCAUCGGAACAUGCCUAUUUGUGGGGGAUAGCCCGGCGAAAGCCGGAUUAAUACCGCAUACGAUCUACGGAUGAAAGCUGGGGACCGCAAGGCCUAGCGCAAAUAGAGUGGCCGAUGUCAGAUUAGCUAGUUGGUGGGGUAAAGGCCCACCAAGGCAACGAUCUGUAGCUGGUUUGAGAGAACGACCAGCCACACUGGGACUGAGACACGGCCCAGACUCCUACGGGAGGCAGCAGUGGGGAAUUUUGGACAAUGGGCGCAAGCCUGAUCCAGCAAUGCCGCGUGCAGGAUGAAGGCCUUCGGGUUGUAAACUGCUUUUGUACGGAACGAAACGGCUCUGGUUAAUACCCGGGGCUAAUGACGG
rnacentral:rRNA from 1 species